rnacentral:lncRNA from 1 species
AUUCCAAUCAUGCAGUUUAGAAUCCGCUCUGGCCCUCUCUAUUUAAUUACAUACUGACUCAGCUCUACGUCACAACAAAUCUAUAUUCAGUAUUCCCAACAAUCUCAAGGGUUUCAAAUGUAUUCCCUGCAUUGCCGGCCGAGUCUGCAUAUAUUGCUUCACGUUUUCGUGGUUUACUAAUAUUUCUCGUCCAUAACCACGAAAAGUUUUACUCGAGUUAGUGUGAUUGUUCUUUCAACUUAUUAAACUUCACCUUUCAGGACUUUCCUCUAUAAGCUUGGUUGCUUCACCUAAGUGCUGUUUCUAAGUGUGUAGUUGGAGAUAUUCUGGAGAGUUUUACAGAAGCUUCAACUGUCUAAGAGUUGUGCUAAGAGCUUUCUUUUCUACUGUUACAGGUAAGAUUCAUCUGUAGGAAAAGGUUACUGAUUGCACAAGGUUUGAAUUCCUGUUGGUAAUUAUAAGGCAUUUGAUUUGAUUAAGCUAGUUACUUGCUAUUGAUUGCUGGUUAAUUAGCUAUUGUUUGCAAAUAAGCAGAGGCCUACCCAGGUGUUAAACAUUCCUAGUGGGUGGUGAUUUUAGGAGUUAUAUAAGGCUUGUUGUCAUUAGCUUGGCUAAUAUUGCUUGGUUGCUUCAGCUAAGUGUUGCUUCUAAGUGUGUAGUUGGAGAUAUUCUGGAGAGUGUUGCUUCUAAGUGUGUAGUUGGAGAUAUUCUGGAGAGUGUUGCUUCUAAGUGUGUAGUUGGAGAUAUUCUGGAGAUAAACUGGAGGUAAUCUGAGGUAUUCAGCAGGAAAUAAGAAAAAAGUUGAGAUUAGUUUGAGUUAAAUUAUUUUCCUCAUUGGAAUGGCAGACUUAGUUCAGUGUAAUAGUUGCUAUGCAUUUGUUUCACUGUCUACUUUUUGGAGAUUUGGUUGUUGUCUAAUCUGUAGACAGUUCUCUAUCUUGCGGCAGGAGAUUGUAUUUUUGAAGUCUGAGAUUUGUAAAUUAUCUGGUGAACAAACUCAGACUGGAACUGCUGCAAAGCUACUGCCGCAGAGACAUACUAGGAAUGGCAGAUGGAUUACUGUAGGAUCUGGCAGACUUAGAGUUGUGGAUAAAAGGCAUUUUGCACAGUCCGUUUCUCUACAUAAUUCAUUUUCUGCACUUUCAGAGUGUAAUGGUGUUGUGGAGAGAGGCACUGAGGCUAGUGGUGUUGUGGAGAGAGGCACUAAGGCGAGUGGUUUUGUGGAGAGAGGCACUGAGGCUAGUGGUGUUGUGGAGACAGGCUUGGAGACUAUGGUGAGGCCUAAUAGAAAGCAGUUGUUGUUGGGGGAUUUGAUCAAAAGAGGUGUGGAGAUGGACAAUGGUGGUCUUGUGAGGUGUCUUCCCGGAGCUACUGCUCACAGAGACAGAAGACUUAUCUUUAAUAUUGUUAAGCAAGCAAAGCAGGAAGGGGAAUUGGAUGUACUUGUCCAUCUAGGGACAAAUGACUUGGCUUGCAAUGAGGUUUCAGAGGUUAAGGAAGUUUUUAGUGUUUUUGCCAAUGAUAUACGGCAGGUUGCUUCCACACUGUCAUUCUCUGAAGUUCUGCCUGUGCAUAACACUCAGAACGACAGGCGGAUGCGUAUUAGGGACUUUAAUUUGUGGCUUGGUGAAUGGUGUCGGGAGCAAGGAUUUGGCUUUAUUUCUCAUGGUAGCUCUGUUUGGAAUGGAAAUAAGCUGUACAAAAAAGAUGGUUUGCAUCUUUCUCAAAAGGGAACAAAUGUUCUCAGUGAGCAGUUCAGAGGUUUUGCUAGGAUGUAUUUAAACUAGGAGGGGGGGCAAAAGGGUGAUAAAACAUCAAUCCAAUUGUCCCCCAAAACAAGGACAGAAGGUGCCUGUAGCAAGUGUGUUAAAAAAUGAUAAGCUUAGAGUCAUGUCUACAAAUGCUCGCAGUUUAGGGAAAAAGAUCCAUGAACUUGUGGCAAUAAUGGCAACUGAUGUAGAUUUAGUCGCUGUUACUGAGACAUGGUAUAAUGAGAAAAAUGACUGGGACAUAGCAAUACCAAAUGACUGGGACAUAGCAGUACUCUUUAUAUAUAAAAAAAAAAUAUAUAUAAUAUAUUAUAAAGUCUAGCCUAAUAAAAGUUAGUGAGACAAACAUAGAGUCCGUUUGGGUUACGUUAGAAUUUGGUAAUCACACAGUAACUCAUGUAGGUGUGAUUUAUAGGCCCCCAGGAAAAAUUGAAGAGUUAGAUAAUCUACUAGUUGAGGAAAUAGAUAAAAUAACAAUGAAGGGGGACGUUAUCAUCAUGGGUGACUUUAAUCUUCCUGAUGUAAAUUGGAAAACAAAAUUAGCUACUUGUGCCAGGAGCACACAUAUUCUAAACUCACUACUGGGAUUAUCUCUAAAACAAGUUGUUGAAGAGCCAACUCGUAAAGAGGCCAUACUAGAUUUAGUGUUAACAAAUGGAGAUUUGGUAUCAGAUAUUACUGUAGGUGAAAGUUUAGGAUCCAGUGAUCAUCAGUCAGUGUGGUUUAAUAUAAGAACAGUGACUGAGUCACACCACACAAAAACAAAAGUUUUAGACUUUAGAAAAACAGACUUUUCUAAAAUUAGAAUAUGUGUAGAGGAGUCAUUAUCGGACUGGAGCAAUUUAAAUGGAGUCCAAGAGAAAUGGGAUUAUUUAAAAGUUGCACUAUUGAAGGCAACAGAAAAUUGCAUUAGGCUUGUCAGUAAAAGCAAAAAAUUCAAGAAACCACUGUGGUACUCCGCAGAUGUGGCCAAAAUAGUUAAAAACAAAGUUAGCAUUUAGGAAUUAUAAAAAAAAACAGAGUGAGGGAGACAAAAUGAUCUAUAAGAUUAGGCAGAAAGAGGCUAAGCAAGUUAUAAGAGCUUCCAAAUCACACACAGAAGAGAAAAUAGCACAGUCAGUAAAAAAGGGGGAUAAAACAUUUUUUAGAUACAUAAAUGAGAAAAGAAAAGUAAAACAAGGAUUAGUUAGAUUAAAAACAAAAGAAAGAAGGUAUGUAGAAGAGGAUAAAGGUCUAGCUGACUGCCUCAAUGAAUAUUUUUGUUCUGUAUUUACAGAUGAAAAUGAAGGAAAAGGACCUCAGUUGAGA